rnacentral:tRNA from 1 species
UUGCCGAGGGCCACGCGGAGUUGCCCGGCGUUAUCGGUGACGGCGAUGUCCUGUUUGCCGUCGCCGUUCAAGUCGGCGACGACGAG